CCGGCACGGGUGAGUAACACGUAUCCAACCUGCCGUCUACUCUUGGACAGCCUUCUGAAGGAAGAUUAAUACAAGAUGGCAUCAUGAGUCCACAUGUUCACAUGAUUAAAGGUAUUCCGGUAGACGAUGGGGAUGCGUUCCAUUAGGUAGUAGGCGGGGUAACGGCCCACCUAGUCUUCGAUGGAUAGGGGUUCUGAGAGGAAGGUCCCCCACAUUGGAACUGAGACACGGUCCAA
rnacentral:rRNA from 1 species